UGCCCCAGUAACGGCGAGUGAAGCGGCAACAGCUCAGAUUUGAAAUCCGGCGCCCCCGCGGGGCGCCCGAGUUGUAAUCUGCAGAGGAUGCUCCUGGCGCGGCGCCGUCCGAGUUCCCUGGAACGGGACGCCGCAGAGGGUGAGAGCCCCGUACGGUCGGACGCCCAGCCUGUGUGGAGCCCCUUCGGCGAGUCGAGUAGUUUGGGAAUGCUGCUCAAAACGGGAGGUAUACGCCUUCUAAAGCUAAAUACCGGCCAGAGACCGAUAGCGCACAAGUAGAGUGAUCGAAAGAUGAAAAGCACUUUGAAAAGAGGGUUAAACAGUACGUGAAAUUGUUGAAAGGGAAGCGCUCGCGGCCAGACUCGGGCCCGGGGGAUCAUCCGGCGCUCGCGCCGGUGCACUCCGCCGGGCUCCGGGCCAGCAUCGGCCCGCGGCGGGGGAUAAAGGCGCCGGGAACGUGGCUCCCCAGGGAGUGUUAUAGCCCGGCGCGCAACGCCCCGCGGCGGGCCGAGGUUCGCGCGUCCGCAAGGAUGCUGGCGUAAUGGCCACCAGCGACCCGUCUUGAAACACGGACCAAGGAGUCGUCUUCGCAUGCGAGUGUUCGGGCGUCAAACCCGUGCGCGUAAUGAAAGUGAACGCGGGUGGGAGCCCCCCCUAGCGGGGGGCGCACCGCCGACCGAUCCUGAAGUUCACGGAUGGAUUUGAGUAGGAGCAUGCGGGGCCGGACCCGAAAGAAGGUGAACUAUGCCUGUGUAGGGUGAAGCCAGAGGAAACUCUGGUGGAGGCUCGCAGCGGUUCUGACGUGCAAAUCGAUCGUCAAACAUGGGCAUGGGGGCGAAAGACUAAUCGAAC
rnacentral:rRNA from 1 species